rnacentral:rRNA from 1 species
GAUGAACGCUAGCGGCAGGCUUAACACAUGCAAGUCGAGGGGUAUUUGUCUUCGGAUAGAGAGACCGGCGCACGGGUGCGUAACGCGUAUGCAAUCUACCUUUUACAGAGGGAUAGCCCAGAGAAAUUUGGAUUAAUACCUCAUAGUAUAGUACAACCGCAUGGUUGAACUAUUAAAGUCACAACGGUAAAGAUGAGCAUGCGUCCCAUUAGCUAGAUGGUAAGGUAACGGCUUACCAUGGCAACGAUGGGUAGGGGUCCUGAGAGGGAGAUCCCCCACACUGGUACUGAGACACGGACCAGACUCCUACGGGAGGCAGCAGUGAGGAAUAUUGGACAAUGGGCGCAAGCCUGAUCCAGCCAUGCCGCGUGCAGGAUGACGGUCC